CUGGGGCAACACGCCUUUCACCGAAGCGGGAUCCGAGUGGCACGUCGGAUCUGCGUACGUAACCACACUCCUGACCCGAUGGGCCUCGUUCGUCUCAGCCCGGUGGGAUCGCGUAGACCAGCACAGGGGAUGGAUUACCGAUGUUCACUGGAACUUUCCUGUAUCUCCUCAAGAUUACACUCAUAUACACGUCCAAAGGUUUUGUAAUUUAUCCUCAUAAGUGAAUUAUGGCUUCUUCAAGACAACAACAACAACAACAACAACAUCGCCAUCAUUUGUAUUGUGGUGGAUUGAAUUUAUAUGUUACAUUUCAGAAAAUUUGCUAUCCUUCCAACAUUUAUUCUUUCCAUC